GACGAACCGAGCGAACGUUGUUCGGAAUCACUGGGCUUAAAGGGCGCGUAGGCGGGCUGCCGCGUCCGGGGUGAAAUCCUCCGGCUCAACCGGGGAACGGCCUCGGAUACGGGCGGCCUCGAGGGGGGUAGGGGCAUGCGGAACUGUGAGUGGAGCGGUGAAAUGCGUUGAUAUUCACAGGAACUCCGGUGGCGAAGGCGGCGUGCUGGACCCCACCUGACGCUGAGGCGCGAAAGCCAGGGGAGCAAACGGG
rnacentral:rRNA from 1 species